rnacentral:lncRNA from 1 species
GUUUUCUGAGACUGCAUCCACUUUGAUAGUUUCUACUGAGUCCAAAUUAGAACAUCCCAGCUGGUGGGCUGUCUCCCAGGAAGCCCUCGGAGAGGAGCGGUGCAUAGGGGGCACCUGGACACAGCCCACCUCCCCCGAGUAGCGUCAGGUAGGCUUGUCUAUCUACAUCCUUUCGCCCUUUCUCAGGAAACUAUCAGAUGAUGUGCUCCCCCAGAUGAAGAAGUAGUGCCAGGAAAAAGGAGACACGGGAUACAGGGAUCCUGAAGCCGGCGGAGGACAAGGGAGCUCCUGGGAGGACAGCUGUGCUCCGGCCUAGCAAUAGCGAGCAGCUGGUCCAGACUGCCGCCGUGACUCAGAAGAUAGACAUGCGGAGGGUUAUGAUCACAGAGCAACGAUGGUCCUUGUACAUGAAGAUAAAAAUGCUCAGGUGUGCCCAGGUUGAAGAAGAUGAAAGGCCCUGCCUCCCAGAGCGCCCGGGGACACUGGUGAUCUCUUCCAGGUCUGUUUCCACCCACUGCAGCUGUGAUGGAAUCUUGCUCUGUUGCCCAGGCUAGAAUGCAGUGGCGUGAUCUUGGCUCACCAAAAAUUCUGCCUCCUGGGUUCAAGUGCCUCCACACCCAGCUAAUUUUGUAUUUUUAGUAGAGACGAGAUUUCACCAUGUUGGCCAGGCUAGUCUUGAACUCCUGACAUUGUGAUCCACCCACCUCAGCCUCCCAAAGUGCUAAGAUUACAGGUGUGAGCCACCAUGCCCGGCCUACCUGGAGCAUUAUUAAAACCUUAAACCUUUAA